rnacentral:rRNA from 1 species
GGGGAAUAUUGGACAAUGGGCGCAAGCCUGAUCCAGCAAUGCCGCGUGUGUGAAGAAGGCCUUCGGGUUGUAAAGCACUUUUAUCAGGAGCGAAAUACUACCGGCCAAUACCCGGUGGGGCUGACGGUACCUGAGGAAUAAGCACCGGCUAACUUCGUGCCCGCAGCCGCGGUAAUACGUAGGGGGCAAGCGUUGUCCGGAUUUAUUGGGCGUAAAGCGCUCGCAGGUGGUCCGAUGCGUCGUGCGUGAAAGACCCCGGCUCAACUGGGGAGGGUCGUGCGAUACGGUCGGACUGGAGGCCAGUAGGGGGAUGCGGAAUUCCGGGUGUAGUGGUGGAAUGCGUAGAGAUCCGGAGGAACACCAGCGGCGAAGGCGGCAUCCUGGACUGGUCCUGACACUCAUGAGCGAAAGCGUGGGGAGCGAU